CUUGAGCUAUAAACAUAAGAGGUCCAGCCUGCCCAGUGAUUAAAUUUAACGGCCGCGGUAUCCUAACCGUGCGAAGGUAGCGUAAUCACUUGUUCUUUAAAUGAGGACUAGUAUGAAUGGCACCACGAAGGUUUUACUGUCUCCUUUUCCUAAUCAGUGAAACUAAUCUUCCCGUGAAGAAGCGGGAAUAAACGAAUAAGACGAGAAGACCCUAUGGAGCUUUAAACACAAUAACAAAUACUACUUUAAACAAAAAUUUCUUAAUGACUUACUCCCUGGUAUUAUGAUUAUUAGUUUUAGGUUGGGGUGACCGCGGAGAAAAACACAACCUCCACAUUGAAUGAUAAAAUUCUAAGCAAAGAAUUACAUUUCCACGCAUCAAUACAUUGACAUCAAUUGACCCAAUUAUUUUGAUCAACGAAC
rnacentral:rRNA from 2 species